GACGAACGCUGGCGGCGUGCUUAACACAUGCAAGUCGAGCGGAAAGGCCCUUCGGGGUACUCGAGCGGCGAACGGGUGAGUAACACGUGAGUAACCUGCCCUAGGCUUUGGGAUAACCCCGGGAAACCGGGGCUAAUACCGGAUAUGACCUGGUGCCGCAUGGUGUUGGGUGGAAAGUUUUUUCGGCCUGGGAUGGGCUCGCGGCCUAUCAGCUUGUUGGUGGGGUGAUGGCCUACCAAGGCGAUGACGGGUAGCCGGCCUGAGAGGGCGACCGGCCACACUGGGACUGAGACACGGCCCAGACUCCUACGGGAGGCAGCAGUGGGGAAUAUUGCACAAUGGACGGAAGCCUGAUGCAGCGACGCCGUGUGAGGGAUGAAGGCCUUCGGGUUGUAAACCUCUUUCAGCAGGGACGAAGCGUGAGUGACGGUACCUGCAGAAGAAGCGCCGGCCAACUACGUG
rnacentral:rRNA from 1 species